rnacentral:rRNA from 1 species
UGGGGAAUUUUGGACAAUGGGCGAAAGCCUGAUCCAGCAAUGCCGCGUGUGUGAAGAAGGCCUUCGGGUUGUAAAGCACUUUUGUCCGGAAAGAAAUCCUCUGGGUUAAUACCUCGGGGGGAUGACGGUACCGGAAGAAUAAGCACCGGCUAACUACGUGCCAGCAGCCGCGGUAAUACGUAGGGUGCAAGCGUUAAUCGGAAUUACUGGGCGUAAAGCGUGCGCAGGCGGUUUUGUAAGACGGAUGUGAAAUCCCCGGGCUUAACCUGGGAACUGCAUUCGUGACUGCAAGGCUAGAGUAUGGCAGAGGGGGGUAGAAUUCCACGUGUAGCAGUGAAAUGCGUAGAGAUGUGGAGGAAUACCGAUGGCGAAGGCAGCCCCCUGGGCCAAUACUGACGCUCAUGCACGAAAGCGUGGGGAGCAAACAGGAUUAGAUACCCUGGUAGUCCACGCCCUAAAACGAUGUCAACUAGUUGUUGGGGAUUCAUUUCCUUAGUAACGUAGCUAACGCGUGAAGUUGACCGCCUGGGGGAGUACGGUCGC